rnacentral:rRNA from 1 species
GACGAACGCUGGCGGCGUGCUUAACACAUGCAAGUCGAACGGAAAGGCCCUGCUUGCAGUGUACUCGAGUGGCGAACGUGUGAGUAACACGUGGGUGAUCUGCCAUGCACUUCGGGAUAAGCCUGGGAAACUGGGUCUACUACCGGAUAGGAGCCAUUUUUCGUGUGAUGGUUGGAAAGUUUUUUCGGUGUAGGAUGAGCUCGCGGCCUAUCAGCUUGUUGGUGGGGUAAUGGCCUACCAAGGCGGCGACGGGUAGCCGGCCUGAGAGGGUGGACGGGCACAUUGGGACUGGGAUACGGCCCAGACUCCUACGGGAGGCAGCAGGGGGGAAGAUGGAAAAAUGGGCGUAAGCCUGAUGCAGAGACGCCGCGGGGGGGAUGACGGCCUUCGGGUUGGAAACGCCUUGCGCUAGGGACGAAGCUUUUUGUGACGGUACCUAGAUAAGAAGCACCGGCUAACUACGUG